rnacentral:rRNA from 1 species
UACGAAGGGUGCAAGCGUUACUCGGAAUUACUGGGCGUAAAGCGUGCGCAGGUGGUUUGUUAAGUCUGCUGUGAAAGCCCCGGGCUCAACCUGGGAAUGGCAGUGGAGACUGGCAAGCUAGAGUGCGGUAGAGGAUAGUGGAAUUCCCGGUGUAGCGGUGAAAUGCGUAGAGAUCGGGAGGAACACCAGUGGCGAAGGCGGCUAUCUGGACCAGCACUGACGCUGAGGCACGAAAGCUAGGGGAGCAAACAGG